rnacentral:rRNA from 1 species
UACGUAGGGUCCGAGCGUUGUCCGGAAUUACUGGGCGUAAAGAGCUCGUAGGUGGUUUGUCGCGUUGUUCGUGAAAACUCACAGCUUAACUGUGGGCGUGCGGGCGAUACGGGCAGACUUGAGUACUGCAGGGGAGACUGGAAUUCCUGGUGUAGCGGUGGAAUGCGUAGAUAUCUGGAGGAAUACCGGUGGCGAAGGCGGCAUCCUGGACCAUAACUGACGCUGAGGCGCGAAAGCUAGGGGAGCAAACGGG